GAUGAACGCUGGCGGCGUGCUUAACACAUGCAAGUCGAACGGAAAGGCCCAAGCUUGCUUGGGUACUCGAGUGGCGAACGGGUGAGUAACACGUGGGUGAUCUGCCCUGCACUUCGGGAUAAGCCUGGGAAACUGGGUCUAAUACCGGAUAGGACGAUGUUUUGGAUGCCAUUGGGUAAAGUUUUUUCGGUGUGGGAUGAGCUCGCGGCCUAUCAGCUUGUUGGUGGGGUAAUGGCCUACCAAGGCGUCGACGGGUAGCCGGCCUGAGAGGGGGUACGGCCACAUUGGGACUGAGAUACGGGCCAGAAUCCCAACGGAGGCAGGAGUGGGGAAUAUUGCAACAUGGGCGGAAGCCUGAUGCAGCGACGCCGGGUGGGGGAUGAAGGCCUUCGGGUUGGAAACUCCUUUCGCUAGGGACGAAGCGUUUUGUGACGGUAACUGGAGAAGAAGCACCGGCUAACUACGUG
rnacentral:rRNA from 1 species